rnacentral:lncRNA from 13 species
CCUUAAAACCCUAGGGUAUAGAAUGAACCUUAUACCCAUCUGCCUUGGCAUACAGAUGCUGAAUCCCUGACUGUGGGGACAGGGGUCCCUUCCAGGGGUGAUGGAGUGGUGAGUAGAAGGGAGGCUGGGUCCUGAGGACUUAAGGCAGAGUUGCCUUACCAGCUGUGGGAGGCAGAGGUUGGCUCUCAUGGCUUUUGUUCUUUGUGUUAUUCAUGGAUAUGCUACAUGACAUAGCAAAAUGUAACUAAGGUACUAAUUGGUUGACCUUAAAAUAGGAAGAUUGUCCUAGAUUCACCAGGUGGACGUAGUCCAAAUUGUAUGAGCCUUUGGAAGGGAAGAUCUUUCUCUAGCCCAUCGCAGAAGGGGAAGGCAGAGAUUUGAAGCAUGAGAAGGAUUCGCCAUGCAAUUAUUGGCUCGAAGACGAGGGGGUCUGCAUGUCAAGAAGACAGGGAUCUCAGUUCCGCAACUGCAAUGAACUGAAUUCUGCUAACAACCUAGAUGCAUUUGGAAGUGGAUUCUUCCCCAGAUUCUGCAGACAGCCCAGCCCAGCCAACACUGGAGCGCCAAAGUGGAUUUCAGCUUUGAGAGUCCCUGAGUACAGAACGCAGCUGUGCCACACUGUGCCGGGACUUCUGGUCCAGGGAUGCUGAAGAACAGUUCUACCCUGGGAACCGAGUGCUUCAUUGCCCUCCUGGUGGAGGUCCCAAGAUGGCACAGAGAGACCAGAUGAGUUCUCCUGAAGACCCUUCAGUAUUUCCUCCAAGCUUCAUUUCCCAGACUCCCGUAUUCUCCAAGUCACCAGAGAAUGGCAUUUUGUUUUGACCGAAGAUUGUCGAAACAACAACAAUGGUGGCACCUGUUAGUUGGUAUCCAAGGUGUCAUGACAAGAAAUUUCACACUUGACUCUCCAUUUAAAAGGCUCCCAUCACCAGGAAAGCACAGCAUCUCCCAGCCACACCUCACCAGCUUGCUGACCCAACAGAAGAAUGAAGACUCUCUUGGUAGCUCUAGGGGAGAAAUUCUAUGGAAGAUCCCAGGUUGCCGGACUCACCCCCUCCCCUGAAGAUCAAUCUUGCUGGAAUGCUCAACUCAGACAAAGCUGAGAAUUUUAAACCUCUGAGUCCCUGUACCUCCCUUGCUGGCUGAAGAUUAGCUUUCCCUUGCAUGAAGAACUGGGAGAAUCUCUUCUGAACCAGUUACCAUCCCAGGGGGAAGCCUCAUUCAUUUCAAGUAGCACAAAAAUGCCCACUUAUUGCCUCAGAGGUAGUCUACACUGUACUAGGCAGAAUAAUGCCCCUGAAGAUGUCUACAGCUUAAACUCUGUAAUCUAUGAACACGUUACUUGGCGUUGCAAGAGGAGCUUUGUAGAUGCGAUUACAACAAGGACCUUGAGAUGGAGAGGUGAUCUUGGAUCUUCUGAAUGGGCCCAGUGUAACCACAAGCGUCCUUAACAGUGGAAGAAAAAAGGUAGAAGAGCAUCAGAGAGAGAUGUGACUAUGGAAGUGUGGUCAUAGAGGUGCACACUGCUGGCUUUGAGGAUGGAGGGAGGGGCCCUAGCCAAGGACUGCAGGCAGCUUCUAGAAGCUGUAAAUGGCAAGGAAACAGUUUUCUUCCUAGAGCUUCCAGAAAGGAAAGCAGGAGAAGGCUUGUCUUCUAGGGCAAUUGUACAAUUUGGCUAAUUUGUGUCACUAGAAACCUAGGAAUAUACAGACAUGGCUUCUAAAGAUCUUAGAGGAGGAUGACAUGUAAUGGUAGACUGGGAGGACUUUAUUGGUGAGUACACUUACUAGAGAUUUUAGGUUUGAUGUGUUGGCUUGUGCACAUGAAAUUGGAUCUAAUAGCUUGCUUGAUUGGUUGAAUAAAGCCAAAACCUGUAUACA